GAUGAACGCUGGCGGCGUGCCUAAUACAUGCAAGUCGAACGAAGUCUUCGGACUUAGUGGCGAACGGGUGAGUAACACGUUGGUACCUACCCCGAAGUGGGGAAUAACUGCCCGAAAGGGUGGCUAAUACCGCAUAAUACCGCAAGGUUAAAGCAGUAAUGCGCUUCGGGAGGGGCCUGCGUCCCAUUAGCUAGUUGGUAGGGUAGUGGCCUACCAAGGCGACGAUGGGUAGCUGGAUCGAGAGGUUGACCAGCCACACUGGGACUGAGAUACGGCCCAGACUCCUACGGGAGGCAGCAGUAAGGAAUCUUCCACAAUGGACGAAAGUCUGAUGGAGCGACGCCGCGUGCAGGAUGACGGCCUUCGGGUUGUAAACUGCUUUUAUACGGGAAGAUUAUGACGGUACCGUAUGAAUAAGGACCGGCUAACUACGUGCCAGCCGCCGCAGUAA
rnacentral:rRNA from 1 species